CCUACGGGUGGCAGCAGUGGGGAAUUUUGGACAAUGGGCGCAAGCCUGAUCCAGCCAUGCCGCGUGUCUGAAGAAGGCCUUCGGGUUGUAAAGGACUUUUGUCAGGGAAGAAAAGGGCGGGGUUAAUACCCCUGUCUGAUGACGGUACCUGAAGAAUAAGCACCGGCUAACUACGUGCCAGCAGCCGCGGUAAUACGUAGGGUGCGAGCGUUAAUCGGAAUUACUGGGCGUAAAGCGGGCGCAGACGGUUACUUAAGCAGGAUGUGAAAUCCCCGGGCUCAACCUGGGAACUGCGUUCUGAACUGGGUGACGAGAGUGUGUCAGAGGGAGGUAGAAUUCCACGUGUAGCAGUGAAAUGCGUAGAGAUGUGGAGGAAUACCGAUGGCGAAGGCAGCCUCCUGGGAUAACACUGACGUUCAUGCCCGAAAGCGUGGGUAGCAAACAGGAUUAGAUACCCUUGUAGUC
rnacentral:rRNA from 1 species